UACGUAGGGUGCAAGCGUUGUCCGGAAUUAUUGGGCGUAAAGAGCUCGUAGGCGGUCUGUCGCGUCUGCUGUGAAAACCUAGGGCUUAACUCUGGGCGUGCAGUGGGUACGGGCAGGCUAGAGUGCGGUAGGGGAGACUGGAAUUCCUGGUGUAGCGGUGAAAUGCGCAGAUAUCAGGAGGAACACCGGUGGCGAAGGCGGGUCUCUGGGCCGAUAUUGACGCUGAGGAGCGAAAGCGUGGGGAGCAAACAGG
rnacentral:rRNA from 1 species